AGAAUCAACGCUGGCGGCGUGCCUAACACAUGCAAGUCGCACGAGAAAGGGACUUCGGUCCUGAGUACAGUGGCGCACGGGUGAGUAACACGUGAAUCAUCUACCUUCGAGUGGGGAAUAAACUGAGAGAAAUCUUGGCUAAUACCGCAUAAUACCUACGGGUCAAAGCAGCAAUGCGCUUGAAGAGGAGUUCGCGGCAGAUUAGUUAGUUGGCGGGGUAAUGGCCCACCAAGACGAUGAUCUGUAU
rnacentral:rRNA from 1 species